rnacentral:rRNA from 1 species
CUACGGGUGGCUCCAGUGAGGAAUUUUGCGCAAUGGGGGAAACCCUGACGCAGCAACGCCGCGUGAGCGAAGAAGGCCCUCGGGUCGUAAAGCUCUGUCAAGUGGGAAAAAAGCCUUUUGAUCAAUACCCAAAAGGUUUGAUGGUACCACUGGAGGAAGCACCGGCUAACUCCGUGCCAGCAGCCGCGGUAAUACGGAGGGUGCAAGCGUUGUUCGGAAUUACUGGGCGUAAAGGGCGUGCAGGCGGUUUGGCAAGUCAGAUGUGAAAGCCCUGGGCUUAACCCGGGAAGUGCAUUUGAAACUGCCUUUCUUGAGUAUGGGAGAGGAGAGUGGAAUUCCCAGUGUAGAGGUGACAUUCGUAGAUAUUGGGAGGAACACCCGUGGCGAAGGCGACUCUCUGGACCAAUACUGACGCUGAGACGCGAAAGCGUGGGGAGCAAACAGGAUUAGAUACCCGAGUAGUC